rfam:Microgenomates (Woesebacteria) bacterium GW2011_GWA1_43_12 TV66_C0001, whole genome shotgun sequence.
GUGGUCGUAGCUCAAUGGUAGAGCACUAGCUUGUGGAGCUAGGUGUUGCGGGUUCAAAUCCCGUCGACCACC